AGGAUAAACGCUGGCGGCGUGCCUAACACAUGCAAGUCGAACGUCUCUUCUUUCGGGAAGAGGAGUGGCGGACGGGUGAGGAACACGUGGGAACCUGCCCUUCAGUGAGGAAUACCGGCGAGAAAUCGCCGACAAGACCGCAUAGCCCUCUCUGGUGAGAGCCAGAGAAGGAAAGCCUCGCAAGAGGCGCUGGAGGAGGGGCCUGCGUCCGAUUAGCUAGUUGGUGGGGUAAGAGCCUACCAAGGCGUCGAUCGGUAGCUGGUCUGAGAGGACGAUCAGCCACACUGGGAUUGAGAACGGCCCAGACUCCUACGGGGGGCAGCAGUGAGGAAUUUUCGGCAAUGGGGGAAACCCUGACCGAGCAACGCCGCGUGCAGGAAGACGGCCUUCGGGUUGUAAACUGCUUUUCUUUGGGACGAGCAAGGACGGUACCAGAGGAAUCAGCCCGGCUCACUACGUGCCAGCAGCCGCGGU
rnacentral:rRNA from 1 species